rnacentral:tRNA from 1 species
GGUAAGGUAAGCUAAGCCUAAGCUAUUGGGCUCAUGCCCCAAAAAUGCGUCUCCGCCCCUACCA